rnacentral:rRNA from 1 species
UACGUAGGGUGCAAGCGUUGUCCGGAAUUAUUGGGCGUAAAGAGCGUGUAGGCGGCCCGAUUAGUCCGCUGUGAAAGUCCAGGGCUCAACCCUGGAAUGCCGGUGGAUACUGUCGGGCUAGAGUCCGGAAGGGGCGAGUGGAAUUCCUGGUGUAGCGGUGAAAUGCGUAGAUAUCAGGAGGAACACCGGUGGUGUAGACGGCUUUCUGGACCGUAACUGACGCUGAGACACGAAAGCGUGGGUAGCAAACAGG